rnacentral:rRNA from 1 species
AAGAGUACGUGAAACCGUUCAGGGGUAAACCUGUGAAACCCAAAAGAUCGAAUGAAGAGAUUCAUCGUCAGCGUAUUCAGUAUUAAUAUAGGCUAUGAUGUGAUAAUAGAAUCCUUGUGGUCACUAGAUUAUACUUGCUUGUAUUAUUUUUGCUGGGUAUGUCGGCGUGCACUUCUCUUCUAGUAGAACGUCGCAACCCGUUGGAUGUUUAUCUAUGGCCUGACUGGUAGCCUUUGAUAUUUUUUAUAUUGGAGACCUUUGGUGUCCUGAUAAACUGUCUGACGGUAUACAUAUAGUAUUGAGCCGCAAUUAUUUGCGUUAGGCUUAUCGCAAGCAAGGCUUUAUUCUAGUAGUGCGGAUCUAAUGCCGUCGCUGGACAAAGUCUGCUGUUAGUUGUGUAAUGUCUUUAACUGGCUUAUUUACUGGUUAGCGAUGCUACUGCUUUGGGUAC